rnacentral:misc_RNA from 1 species
AACUUGUUGCAAUGUAUCACUUGGUUCUGGCAUCGAUUAAGAACGCAGCGAAAUGCGAUAAGUAGUGUGAAUUGCAGAAUUCCGUGAAUCAUCGAAUCUUUGAACGCACAUUGCGCCUAUUGGUAUUCCAAUAGGCAUGCCUGUUCGAGCGUCAUUUAAACCUUCAAGCAUUGCUUGGUGUUGGGUGCUGUUCGCCUUGCGAACUUGCCUUGAAUAAAUUGGCAGCCAGCAAUUGGGUGUUGGAGCGCAGCACAUUUUGCGUUCUUGGCCCUAAUAGCCGGCGUCCAGAAAGCUUAUUUCAACGUUUGACCUCGGAUCAGGUAGGGAUACCCGCUGAACUUAAGCAUAUCAAUAAGCGGAGGCU